AAAAAUAUUUGGUCUCGUGCCAAAUUUACACCUGUGCGCACCAUUGUCUGUAUUUGGUAGCUCGAGCGCGCUCCGGAAGCUCAACACUUCCAUUAGGGGCGCCUACCCUUGCGGGUCACAUCCCGCUUGGGUUGGGCUACCGCCUUUUUUUUGAAAAACCUUUUUUGUUUUGUCUUUUUGUCUGAACGAAGAGUUGAUCUUAAUUGAUUAAUGAUUUGAAAA
rnacentral:misc_RNA from 1 species